UACGUAGGGACCAAGCGUUGUUCGGAUUUACUGGGCGUAAAGGGCGCGUAGGCGGCAAUUCAAGUCAGCUGUGAAAUCUCCGAGCUUAACUCGGAACGGUCAGCUGAUACUGUUUUGCUAGAGUACAGAAGGGGCAAUCGGAAUUCUUGGUGUAGCGGUGAAAUGCGUAGAUAUCAAGAGGAACACCUGAGGUGAAGACGGGUUGCUGGGCUGAUACUGACGCUGAGGAGCGAAAGUGUGGGGAGCGAACAGG
rnacentral:rRNA from 1 species